UGGCUCAGAUGGUAAAGCAUCUGCCUGCAGUGCAGGAGACCUGGGUUCAAUCCCUAG
rnacentral:tRNA from 1 species